AAAACUUCAUAAGAUCUCUUUGUAAGGUUGUUGGUGCACUAGGACCUUUAUGCAUUUCAUUCUUUAUUUAUGCACAAAAAUCAUCCAAGAGUAAUAUUGUUUUAAAUAUCUUAAGAAUUGGAUGAUUUCAUGUUUUUAACUAAAACCUUGUGUUAAAUGAUUUUCAAACUUGUGUUAAAAGGUUUUAAGUUGAAAAAGGUUGGGUGUUGAGCCAAAAAAUGGCUCAACCGGUUGUGCUCGUCCGGUCAAGGACCGGUUGAGAGGCCAAAAAGUUUUUCUCUCUCCUAGUGGCCUUUUCUUCCUAGUCAAGGUUGAACCUCAAUCGGUUGAGGUCCGAUCAAGGUCUUGUUGAGGUCCGGUUGAGGCCCAAUGGUCACCUGCCAAGCAUUAAAUGCUAACGGCUAGUCAAUUGAUCGACCCCUAUCUCGAUCGGUCGAACCCCCAAUGGCUAGUUUGACUUUUUUCUUCUAUAAAAAGGCUCCAAUCUUCAUUGUUUCAUGAGCUUAACCUUCCCAAAUCUUUCUUGAUUAUAUUUGAGCAUUGGAAGAGUAUUUUUGAGUGCACCAUUAUUUCAAAACUUGCAUAUCUUUAGUGCACCAUUCAAUCCUAGUUUUUCUUAUAUCAUUUAAACUUAAAGUUCUUGUGCUAGGAUUUUUGAGAGAUCAUUCAUUUGUAAAUCUUUGAGAGGAAGUUUCUCAAGUGUGGGGUAUCACUUGAGGGGUUGUUCAAGAAUGAGAUAUCUCUUGAGAAGUGUAAAAGGUGCUUGGAGCCAAAAGUCCAAGAGGGUGAAUUGAAACCAUAAUCCAAUUGUAUUGCUUGAAGGCUUGGUUUGGAAGCUUAGGAUUAGUGGAACCUCAACCUUGAGAUUGAAGCUAGAGGAGAGUGGAUGUAGGCCGGGUUGCACCGAAUCACUAUAAACUCUUGUGUUUGCAUUCUCUCUUCCCUACUCUUUAAUUAAUAUGCAAUUGUCUAUAUAUUGAUUAUUGUAUACUUGCAUAUAGUUGUCUCUUGCAUUAACUUGUUUAAAUUUACAAAAAGAGACCAUCACCCUAUUCACCCCCUCUCUAGGGUGAUUACCAUAGGUUGGAUUAGCCUAAUAUUUCUAACACAUUCAUAUGCAUUUCAUUUAAUUGUUUCAUAUUGUGGAAUUGUGUAUAAUAUUAGAGAUUAAAUUAUGUGGCUUGAUCAAUAUUGUUGAGAUGUUUUUUUUGUGUUAUUUGGAACUUAGUAAUCCCUAUUAAUUUCUUGGGUGUUAGACACCUUUCUAAGCAAUGUGGAAUGCUCACCCCUUCCUUUUUACAUCUUUUUAGAUGCAGAUAUCACUCCUGAGGAUCCAUAGGUGGGGCAAGGAGGACUUUAGGAUGCCCUUGGAGCGGCCUAGUGGAGUGUGUUGUAUUUAUUGAGUUUGUGGUUUUGGGACUUGUUUUAGUAAACAGUGAAUUAUGGACUUGUAAUGAGACCCUAUUUUGAUUAAGUUGUUUAAUUGUGAACUUUUGUUUUUGG
rnacentral:lncRNA from 1 species